GAUGAACGCUGGCGGCGUGCUUAACACAUGCAAGUCGAACGGAAAGGCCCAAGCUUGCUUGGGUACUCGAGUGGCGAACGGGUGAGUAACACGUGGGUGAUCUGCCCUGCACUUCGGGAUAAGCCUGGGAAACUGGGUCUAAUACCGGAUAGGACCACUUCUUGGAUGUUGUGGUGGAAAGUUUUUUCGGUGUGGGGUGAGCUCGCGGCCUAUCAGCUUGUUGGUGGGGUAAUGGCCUACCAAGGCGUCGACGGGUAGCCGGCCUGAGAGGGUGUACGGCCACAUUGGGACUGAGAUACGGCCCAGACUCCUACGGGAGGCAGCAGUGGGGAAUAUUGCACAAUGGGCGCAAGCCUGAUGCAGCGACGCCGCGUGGGGGAUGACGGCCUUCGGGUUGUAAACUCCGUUCGCUAGGGACGAAGCGUUUUGUGACGGUACCUGGAGAAGAAGCACCGGCUAACUACGUG
rnacentral:rRNA from 1 species